UACAGAGGUCCCAAGCGUUGUUCGGAUUCAUUGGGCGUAAAGGGUGCGUAGGCGGCGCGGUAAGUCGGGUGUGAAAUCUCGGAGCUUAGCUCCGAAACUGCAUUCGAUACUGCCGUGCUUGAGGACUGGAGAGGAGACUGGAAUUUACGGUGUAGCGGUGAAAUGCGUAGAUAUCGUAAGGAAGACCAGUGGCGAAGGCGGGUCUCUGGACAGUUCCUGACGCUGAGGCACGAAGGCCAGGGGAGCAAACGGG
rnacentral:rRNA from 1 species